rnacentral:ncRNA from 1 species
CACCGCCCGUCACACUAUGGGAGAUGGCUAUGCUCAAAGUUGUUACCUUAACCGCAAGGAGGGGGAUACCGAACGCAGGGCUAGUGACUGGAGUGAAGUCGUAACAAGGUAGCCAUACUAGAAGGUGAGGCUG